UAGACACCAUUAUAUGUGGAUUUGAAGAUUUCUCAUUGCCGGUCCCUAGGCCAGAGUGGAGCUCACUGUUCUGAACGACGCGCAAGGUAGUUUUGUGAUAUGGCCAUGUGCUUGGGUGCGAUUUUCAGAUAAGGCUUUGAAGAAAAAAACAGAAUCGGCCAAAAAAGUGAAGAAUUUGGAUGCGGACAAAGAGAGUUCGCAAGACAACCGAUCAAAAGAGAAUGAGGUGGACUCAAAAGCUAACAAUAACAAGGCGGAUUCACAACCUAAGAGUGUAGUUGUAGGUAAGAUUUCAUCUAAGGGCUCAUCUCCUGAUGUGAAUCCAAAAGGAACUCCACUUGUGUGUGAAAAAGUGCUCCAGUCUCUUAGCAAGUCAUGUUCUUGGCUACAUGCUCGUGUUACCAACUUGCCUGAUUCCUCCCCAAUAAAGGUUGAUUUGGAGAAAUCUCAAUUCCACUACUUAGAUGACGAUUCAGCUACUUGGGUAUAUAAAGUAGAUAUUCGUGAGUUCCUCUCCGGCGCGAUGUUAAAUGUAUCUAUAUUACAAGUCUUCAUGAGUGCACUUUACGAAGAUUUACUUGGAUGUGAUUCUGUUUCAAAAGUUGGGUGGUUAUGUCCACAAGAGAUUCGUGGUGACAAUUGCUUGAAGAACCAUGCUGAAGCGAAUGAGUACGUUGAAAGGAGUAUUACCGCAUGUGUUCGAUCUAAAGAUAACUAUAUUAUUGCCCCAUACCUUGAAGAGUAUGUUUUAGUACCUAG